UGACGGUACCUGACUAAGAAGCCCCGGCUAACUACGUGCCAGCAGCCGCGGUAAUACGUAUGGUGCAAGCGUUAUCCGGAUUUACUGGGUGUAAAGGGAGCGUAGACGGUAUGGCAAGUCUGAAGUGAAAGCUCGGGGCUCAACCCCGGAACUGCUUUGGAAACUGUCGCACUAGAGUGCAGGAGAGGUAAGUGGAAUUCCUAGUGUAGCGGUGAAAUGCGUAGAUAUUAGGAGGAACACCAGUGGCGAAGGCGGCUUACUGGACUGUAACUGACGUUGAGGCUCGAAAGCGUGAGGAGCAAACAGGAUUAGAUACCCUG
rnacentral:rRNA from 1 species